GGGGAAUAUUGCACAAUGGGCGAAAGCCUGAUGCAGCGACGCCGCGUGAGCGAAGAAGUAUUUCGGUAUGUAAAGCUCUAUCAGCAGGGAAGAAAAUGACGGUACCUGACUAAGAAGCCCCGGCUAACUACGUGCCAGCAGCCGCGGUAAUACGUAGGGGGCAAGCGUUAUCCGGAUUUACUGGGUGUAAAGGGAGCGUAGGCGGCAAGGCAAGUCUGAUGUGAAAACCCGGGGCUCAACCCCGGGACUGCAUUGGAAACUGCGUAGCUAGAGUGUCGGAGAGGUAAGUGGAAUUCCUAGUGUAGCGGUGAAAUGCGUAGAUAUUAGGAGGAACACCAGUGGCGAAGGCGACUUACUGGACGAUAACUGACGCUGAGGCUCGAAAGCGUGGGGAGCAAAC
rnacentral:rRNA from 1 species